GUUGCUGCCAUUGCCUGAUCUAAUGCUGAACUGUUCUUACUGUUUAGGGGUGGAGUGCCAUGGUGCCCCAUCACAGGGCUCAAUGAUACUGGAACAAUAGAUGCAAGAGCUGGUGGAAUCGGUAUAAUAGGAGCACUACCCAUGGGCAUAGCAGGCAUAGCUGGCCCUCCACCUCCGGCAAGGGGAGGGACUGUAAUGCUGCAAGAUCAAAAGAGUCAUUGACAAGUUGCCAGGAAAGAAGAAAUGUAUGACAGUUUCUCAUGUUACCUCUUAACUUCAUCAGCUGCUAUUCUAGCUUUUAGAUCCUGCAAUUCAUCUGGAAUAACCCAUCGUGAUUCCUUGGUAUCCACAUUAUGAUAGUAUGUUUUGCCAUUUUCUGAAAUAUAUUCCUUCCAUGGGCA